AUACGGAGGAUGCAAGCGUUAUCCGGAUUUAUUGGGGUUAAAGGGUGCGUAGGCUGUUCGACAAGUCAGGGGUGAAAGCCCGGCGCCUAACGCCGGAACUGCCUUUGAUACUGCCGAGCUGGAAUACGGAUGCCGUGGGAGGCAUGAGUAGUGCAGCGGUGAAAUGCAUAGAUAUUACUCAGAACACCGAUUGCGAAGGCAUCUCACGAAUCCGUCAUUGACGCUGAGGCACGAAAGCGUGGGGAUCAAACAGGAUUAGAUACCCUGGUAGUCCACGCAGUAAACGAUGAUGACUAACCGUCGGCGAUACACAGUCGGUGGCCAAGCGAAAGCGAUAAGUCAUCCACCUGGGGAGUACGUUCGCAAGAAUGAAACUCAAAUGAAUUGACGGGG
rnacentral:rRNA from 1 species